rnacentral:rRNA from 1 species
GAUGAACGCUGGCGGCGUGCCUAAUACAUGCAAGUCGAGCGAAUGGAUUAAGAGCUUGCUCUUAUGAAGUUAGCGGCGGACGGGUGAGUAACACGUGGGUAACCUGCCCAUAAGACUGGGAUAACUCCGGGAAACCGGGGCUAAUACCGGUUAACAUUUUGAACCGCAUGGUUCGAAAUUGAAAGGCGGCUUCGGCUGUCACUUAUGGAUGGACCCGCGUCGCAUUCGCUAGUUGGUGAGGUAACGGCUCACCAAGGCAACGAUGCGUAGCCGAACUGGGGGGGUGAGCGGCCACACUGGGACUGAGACACGGCCCAGACUCCUACGGGGGGAAGGAGUAGGGAAUCUUCCGCAAUGGACGAAAGUCUGACGGAGCAACGCCGCGUGAGUGAUGAAGGCUUUCGGGGCGUAAAACUCUGUUGUGAGGGAAGAACAAGUGCUAGUUGAAUAAGCUGACACCUUGACGGUACCUAACCAGAAAGCCACGGCUAACUACGUGCCAGCCGCCGCCGUAACAC